rnacentral:rRNA from 1 species
GAUGAACGCUGGCGGCGUGCCUAACACAUGCAAGUCGAACGGAGAUUACGGACGGAAGUUUUCGGAUGGAAGCCUGUAAUUCUUAGUGGCGGACGGGUGAGUAACGCGUGGGCAACCUGCCCUAUACAGGGGGAUAGCAGCUGGAAACGGCUGGUAAGACCGCAUAAGUCGGUUAAAUCGCAUGAUUUGAUCGGGAAAUGAGCAAUCAGGUAUAGGAUGGGCCCGCGUCCGAUUAGCCAGUUGGCAGGGUAAAAGCCUACCAAAGCGACGAUCGGUAGCCGGACUGAGAGGUCGGACGGCCACAUUGGGACUGAGCCACGGCCCAAACUCCUACGGGAGGCAGCAGUGGGGGAUAUUGCACAAUGGAGGAAACUCUGAUGCAGCGACGCCGCGUGAGUGAAGAAGUAUUUCGGUAUGUAAAGCUCUAUCAGCAGGGAAGAUGAUGACGGUACCUGACUAAGAAGCCCCGGCUAACUACGUG